CCUACGGGCGGCAGCAGUGAGGAAUAUUGGUCAAUGGACGAGAGUCUGAACCAGCCAAGUAGCGUGAAGGAUGACUGCCCUAUGGGUUGUAAACUUCUUUUAUAUGGGAAUAAAAUGUUCCACGUGUGGGAUUUUGUAUGUACCAUAUGAAUAAGGAUCGGCUAACUCCGUGCCAGCAGCCGCGGUAAUACGGAGGAUCCGAGCGUUAUCCGGAUUUAUUGGGUUUAAAGGGAGCGUAGGUGGAUUGUUAAGUCAGUUGUGAAAGUUUGCGGCUCAACCGUAAAAUUGCAGUUGAAACUGGCAGUCUUGAGUGCGGUAGAGGUGGGCGGAAUUCGUGGUGUAGCGGUGAAAUGCUUAGAUAUCACGAAGAACUCCGAUUGCGAAGGCAGUUCACUGGACUGCAACUGACACUGAGGCUCGAAAGUGUGGGUAUCAAACAGGAUUAGAUACCCCUGUAGUC
rnacentral:rRNA from 1 species